CGCUGAUUGGAUGCCCAAUAUGUCACUCUAAUGAGCCCGGAGAAAAACGAAUUGCACGGCGUCAAGAAAACUAGAAACUGUAAAUGUUGCAAGCAUGUAUUGCCCUUACUGUGGCAAGCAUUUUGCUGAUCUGCCAAAUUUUUGUAGCGGUUGUGGCAAAGGAUUGCAGAUUUUAAAAGACACCAGCAAGCCAAAAGAAACGACUGAAACGAUGAACGAACCAUCUUCAGUGUUACUGAACCCAACGUUACACCAGUUUAUGAGCUACCGCAAGAAGAAAUCGGAAGAAAGAUCUAACUUUUCCUUGCCUAGAAAGGAAGGGAAAAAACAGGAGAAAAGAACGUACAGGUGAGCAGUGUGUUCAGUUAACAAAGCUGUGUAUGAAUCAGUUAUAAUAAUACGAUGCAGUGGCUGCCAUAGUGCUUAUGGUUUUUCUUGCAGAUAAACGUUGGAGUCAUGGUAAUGCAGAAUUUGGGGUUGAAGCCAGUACGUGGGAGAACGUAUUGCCCACACAUACUGAAAUCACAGGACCACAACUCCUCACGCAAGCUGUGAAAAAAAUAAGGGAUUUCAACAAAGACAUGGAUGAAGGGCCGUACGUCCUUCUAUAUCCAGACGGAUCCCAAGUCAUUACUGUCCCAGGGACACAAAAACCUUUUAUACUAAAGGAAUACAAAGAAGAAAUAGGCAAGACCUAUCAACGACUGAACUUCUUUAUAUGUCCUGAAAAAGACUUGAAAGAUCAUGAACACCUCUCAGAGAAUUCCGAAUCUGACAAUGAGGUUGUCAUUAGAAGUAGGACUUCUGCUGAGUUUGAUCAUGCUGACACACUGUUAAGUGUCGCCUUAUAUUUAG